rnacentral:lncRNA from 1 species
GAGUUCGCUGCUCAUCAAGAGGUGAAUAACUCUAACCUCUUUAUUUUCCUAGUUCCCAAUAGAUGCUCGAAUUUGAGUCGUUUCCUUCAUCUUAGGUUUUUUUUCUUCUGAGAUUGGUAAUGUAUGUUUCGUUUUCUAGUUGAUUUAAUGUUUGUUUGAGCGUAUUUCUCUAUUUGUCUCAUCUUCAAGUUCAUGACUAUUGUGCUCGUCUCAAGUUUGUGUUGUGUAUUUGUUAACUUCAUGGAAGCUGUCUAUCUCCAUUCUUUGAAGUAGAUUUUUUUUCAUGUUCGGUUAUGAGUUUUGAAUAUUUCUCUAUUUGUCUCAUCUUCAAGUUCAUGACUAUUGUGCUCGUCUCAAGUUUGUGUUGUGUAUUUGUUAACUUCAUGGAAGCUGUCUAUCUCCAUUCUUUGAAGUAGAUUUUUUUUCAUGUUCGGUUAUGAGUGUUGAAUCUGUCCAGAAGGGUUACUCCAUGUUCUUAUGCUCAUUUUUCCAAGUUUAUUUUGACUAGCUCUCGCCUAUGCAUAUAAAUGUAGCUUUAGUCCAUCUUUGUUAUGGUUGUUCCCUGGUAAGAAUGUUUUCCUUUUUAAAUGUAGAGUCUUUGUUCUGCUUCUCCUACAUCUUCCGCCAUUUUUUAUUUGUAUUUUUCUGCCAGUGAGUGUCAUCCUUGUUUAGUUAAGAAAUUGCAUUUCUAGAAAGUGGGUGUGCCGUUCUAUCGCUUGGUGGUUAAAUGCUUUUCAAACACUGAGUCAACUUAUAUGACAUAUUCAAUUAGUCAGAGAUUUGGUUAGUCAUUUUAGAACUAUUAAGAAUGCAGGAAUUGGGUUUUAUAUUCUACAGAUAUUGUUUGUUUUAAGAUAUCCUUACUUCCCUGUUAAAGUUUGCUAUUAUGAAAUUAUCUAUUUAUUGAUGUCAAUUUGAUAUAGCACAAAUAAUGUGUUUGAUUGCAUAUGGGCUUCACUUGGUCAUUUUAUUUGCUCCAUUGUAAUAAUGGGUCAGUUCUUAUCUUUGUAAAAAGAGUUUUAGUCAUGCCUUAACUGUAUGUGGUUGCUUUAUUUAUGUUGAAAUAGUGGUCUGAUUUGUAUCGUAGUUUGUUCAUAUAUUUUGGUCUAAAUAACGCUUAGCAGGUCCAUUUAUUUUUCCUAUGAUUAGUGUCAUAGGCAUUUUUACUUCAUUAUUUUCCCGUAUCAAAUCAAUGACUUGUUACUUACUUAUAUAUUCUAUUCAUUUGUUUGCAUGUGAAAUCUGCUCAAGUCCUCACAGACUCCGCCUUUUCAUUUUAAAGGGGGCCAUGAAGGCCCCAAAAUUCCUUUUUUGGGUCAAGAAUUGAUGUACAGGUGUUUGGAGCUUAUAUACGGGAUUUAUAUACUAGUGUAUACGAAAAAGGUAAAAUGGGCCUAGAGGACCCCUAAAUUCAGUUUUGUAUUUUGUUAUUGGGCCUAAGCCCCUUUUACUUGAAUUAUUAUUAUCUUGUUAGUUAGGACAGGUGGAAGAUGGCCAAAAAAAAAAUCAAUUUCAAGAUUAGUCUAGGACAGGUACUAAGUAUUGGACCUUUGGACCCAAAACUAAAAUUAGGCCCAAGUAUUGGCCUAGGCGGACAGAAAAUCAGACUUGGGCCCAUUCUUUAUUGCUUAUGUUUUAUAUUUUCUUACUUAUCAUUAUUUGCAUACUUGUCUUUUAAUUAGUUUUAAGGUUGCCACAAUUCAAUUUCCCUAAGGGUAGUCACUCUGAAUUAAUUUUUCCAAAAUUAAGUAAGCAGUCAUUCUACUUGAUUUUAGAAUAGUUUAUUUAAGUAAUAUUUUUAAUAUUUCCCUUCCCCCG